rnacentral:rRNA from 1 species
AUUGAACGCUGACGGCAUGCUUUACACAUGCAAGUCGAACGGCAGCGCGGGCUUCGGCCUGGCGGCGAGUGGCGAACGGGUGAGUAAUACAUCGGAACGUGCCCAGUAGUGGGGGAUAGCUCGGCGAAAGCCGGAUUAAUACCGCAUACGACCUGAGGGUGAAAGCGGGGGAUCUUCGGACCUCGCGCUAUUGGAGCGGCCGAUGGCAGAUUAGCUAGUUGGUGGGGUAAAGGCCUACCAAGGCGACGAUCUGUAGCUGGUCUGAGAGGACGACCAGCCACACUGGGACUGAGACACGGCCCAGACUCCUACGGGAGGCAGCAGUGGGGAAUUUUGGACAAUGGGCGAAAGCCUGAUCCAGCAAUGCCGCGUGUGUGAUGAAGGCCUUCGGGUUGUAAAGCACUUUUGGCGGGAACGAAAAGGACUGUGCCAAUACCACGGUUCGAUGACGGUACCCGCAGAAUAAGCACCGGCUAACUACGUG